AGAGUUUGAUCCUGGCUCAGGAUAAACGCUAGCGGCAGGCCUAACACAUGCAAGUCGGGCGGUAACAGGAGUAGCAAUACUUGCUGACGAGCGGCAGACGGGUGAGUAACGCGUAUGCAACCUUCCCUCCACACGGGGACAGCCUUCCGAAAGGAGGAUUGAUACCCGAUAGCCUCAUUAGGCGGCAUCGCUUGAUGAUUAAAGAUUCAUCGGUGGAGGAUGGGCAUGCGUGGCAUUAGCUAGACGGCGGGGUAACGGCCCACCGUGGCGAUGAUGCCUAGGGGUUCUAAAAGGAAGGUCCCCCACAUCGGUACUGAGACACGGACCGAACUCCUACGGGAGGCAGCAGUGAGGAAUAUUGGACAAUGGAGGCAACUCUGAUCCAGCCAAACCGCGUGAAGGAUGAAGGCCCUAGUGGUCGUAAACUUCUUUUGAGAGGGAAUAAAGGACGCUACGCAUAGCGUUUUGCAGGUACCUUUCGAAUAAGCACCGGCUAACUCCGUGCCAGCAGCCGCGGUAAUACGGAGGGUGCAGGCGUUAUCCGGAAUUAUUAGGUUUAAAGGGUGCGCAGGCGGACUGUUAAGUCGGCGGUGAAAUACCGGGGCCCAACCCCGGGGCUGCCAUCGAUACUGACAAUCUUGAGUGCGGACGAGGAAGGCGGAAUGUGGCGUGUAGCGGUGAAAUGCUUAGAUAUGCCACAGAACACCGAUUGCGAAGGCAGCCUUCCAGUGCGCCACUGACGCUCAUGCACGAAAGCGCGGGUAGCGAACAGGAUUAGAUACCCUGGUAGUCCGCGCGGUAAACGAUGAUCACUCACUGUUCGGACUUAAGUCCGAGUGGCCAAGCGAAAGCGAUAAGUGAUCCACCUGGGGAGUACGGCGGCAACGCUGAAACUCAAAGGAAUUGACGGGGGCCCGCACAAGCGGAGGAACAUGUGGUUUAAUUCGAUGAUACGCGAGGAACCUUACCUGGGCUCAAAUGCAGGCUGCAUGAGGUGGAAACACUUCUUCCCUUCGGGGCCGCCUGCAAGGUGCUGCAUGGUUGUCGUCAGCUCGUGCCGUGAGGUGUCGGGUCAAGUCCCAUAACGAGCGCAACCCCUGCCGCCAGUUGCCAUCAGGUGAUGCUGGGCACUCUGGCGGGACUGCCAUCGCAAGAUGUGAGGAAGGUGGGGAUGACGUCAAAUCAGCACGGCCCUUACGUCCGGGGCUACACACGUGUUACAAUGGGGGGCACAGCGAGCAGCUGGCAGGCGACUGUCCGGCGAAUCUUGAAAUCCCCUCUCAGUUCGGACUGGAGUCUGCAACCCGACUCCACGAAGCUGGAUUCGCUAGUAAUCGCGCAUCAGCCAUGGCGCGGUGAAUACGUUCCCGGGCCUUGUACACACCGCCCGUCAAGCCAUGAAAGCCGGGGGUGCCUGAAGACUGGGAUGACCGGUCUAGGGUAAAACUGGUGAUUGGGGCUAAGUCGUAACAAGGUAACC
rnacentral:rRNA from 1 species